CGCACAUUGCGCCCUUUGGUAUUCCGAAGGGCAUGCCUGUUCGAGCGUCAUUAUCACCCCUCAAGCCCCCGGCUUGGUGUUGGACGGUUUGGUGGAGCCCCCUUGCGGGCAUCUGCCCCUCCCAAAGACAAUGACGGCGGCCUCGUUGGACCCCCGGUACACUGAGUUCUUUACGGGACACGUAUCGGACACAUGGGUUUGCGGGGCACGGUCUGCCUCCCCUCAGGGAGAAUCUUUCUAAGGUUGACCUCGGAUCAGGUAGGGAUACCCGCUGAACUUAA
rnacentral:misc_RNA from 1 species